rnacentral:lncRNA from 1 species
GAGUGUGCGGAUUCUAGAGUGUAAAAAGAUAAAAAGCGUGAUUAAUGACAGAGGAGAGGAGGAUUUACAAAGCUCUUGGAAGUAUUUGCUUAGAUGAAUUUUGUACCAGCCCCUAGCAGCAGCGCAUUAUGGCUUCAUAGGCCCUCGGGCAAAUCUGAAUUUGGGGGUCCCAUGUAUAAUAUUGAAAUUUUUUCAACAUUAUACAUGGUGAUCUCUGGCAGUGGUGUGGAACACGCGAAGCGAAACACAGAUGGUAGCGAGGCAAAUGGAAAUGCGCAUGUGCAGAAUACAGCAUGGAAAUGAAAUUUCCUCGUAUAAAUAAGAAAACAGAUUAACAAUUUAUUAAAAUAUAAUUGAAUUUUUGCCGAAAUGACGGAUUUUGCCACACAGGAACAACUCAAAGAAGUUAUUUCUCUAGUUAUUUUACUGUUAGG